UAAGACAGAGGUGGCGAGCGUUGUUCGGAUUUAUUGGGCGUAAAGCGAACGCAGGUGGUUUGGUAAGUCAGAGGUGAAAGACCACAGCUUAACUGUGGCACUGCCUUUGAUACUGCCUUUCUAGAGUGCAUGAGGGGGAAGCGGAAUUCCGAGUGUAGAGGUGAAAUUCGUAGAUAUUCGGAGGAACACCGGUGGCGAAGGCGGCUUCCUGGCAUGUAACUGACACUCAUGUUCGAAAGCGUGGGUAGCAAACAGGAUUAGAUACCCUGGUAGUCCACGCCCUAAACGAUGGGCACUAGGUGUGGGAGGUAUCGACCCCUUCCGUGCCGCAGCUAACGCAUUAAGUGCCCCGCCUGGGGAGUACGGCCGCAAGGUUGAAACUUAAAUGAAUUGACGG
rnacentral:rRNA from 1 species